UUCUCCCUCCAGGAGCUCUCACUCACCCCAGCAUGAAUACUCUUCAAAUUGGAUUUCCCAAAAUGGGUUUCAGAGAAAUCACCACCAGAUUUCUUCUCCACAACCCAAACCACCACCUCCCAUGUUCUUCUUCAAUGGUUGUAUCCAUUUCAAGCAGUGGGUUUUCAGGAAAAUCAACAAUUGUUUGUGGAUUAAGAAGUGGACCAAGAAAAUCGUUAUGGAGGUCAAGGGUUUUAUCAUCAGAAGCCAUACAAGCUGUUCAUUCAUUAAAGUUAGCAAGAAAUUCAGAUAAAUUAGAUGAGGUUUUUAGUAAUAGAUUAAGUAGGUUAUUGAAAGAAGAUUUGAUUGCUACUUUUACUGAAUUACAGAGACAGAAUGAAUUGGAAUUGUCCCUAAAGGUUUUUGGGUUUGUCCGCAAGGAGCCGUGGUACAAACCUGAUCUAUCCUUAUAUUCUGACUUGAUAUACAUGUUUGGUAAAAACAAACUGAUUGAGACAGCUGAAGAACUUUUCUUAGAAAUACAGAGAGAAGGUUUGAAGCCUAAUACCAGGACUUACACAGAGAUGAUUGGAGCAUUUAUACAAGUGAACAUGGUGGAAAAAGCAAUGGGUUUAUACGCCUCAAUGAAGGAAUCUGGCUGUGCUCCAGAUAAGUUAACAUUAACCAUAUUGAUAAGGAACCUUGAGAAAGCUGGAGAAGAAGAACUAGCCUCUGCAGUAAAAAAGGAUUGUGAAGAAUAUGUCGAGAACCCGGAGGAAUUCCUUAUAGAAGUAGCAAAAAAUUAUCCUAAGAGAAGAGUGAUUGAGCUGGUUUAAAGACUUUCUGUCAGACUGUCCCAAGUUAAUAUCUUUAGGAAGCAUGUGUAUAAUUUCCAUAGAAGUCUAGUGAAGAUGUGAAUAUUUCUCGAAGAUGAAUCGAAUGACUUCUAUGAAGACAGACAGGGGUUCCAUGUGCUACAGAUGUAAGCUUCUCUUUUACUUGCAUCUCGCAACAGAUAGGAAGUUGAUUCUUGCAUCUCGCAACAGGGAUUGGACUUCAUUGAGCUGAUAAUAAAGACUUCAUUUGUUGGGUUCUUCUUAAUUAAUAAAUGUGGAGAGAGCUACAAACUCCAGUUCAAAAUUAAAUGUGGAUUAUUCAGACUUCAUUUGUUGGGUUCUUCUUCUUCAUAUAAUCAAACAGGAGUUGGUGUGUUAAGUGGUGCACAAUGGAAAGAGAGGGCUACACUUUGUAAACAUCAUCAGAUUAUGUUAUGGGAUCUCUACCUUUCAGUUUCUACUUCUUGUAAAA